rnacentral:rRNA from 1 species
AAACGAGUGGCGAACUGGUGAGUAACACGUGGGUAACCUGCCCUUGAAGUAGGGGAUAACACUUGGAAACAGGUGCUAAUACCGUAUAACAACCAAAACCACAUGGUUUUGGUUUAAAAGAUGGCUUCGGCUAUCACUUUAGGAUGGACCCGCGGCGUAUUAGCUUGUUGGUAAGGUAAUGGCCUACCAAGGCAAUGAUACGUAGCCGACCUGAGAGGGUAAUCGGCCACAUUGGGACUGAGACACGGCCCAAACUCCUACGGGAGGCAGCAGUAGGGAAUCUUCCACAAUGGACGAAAGUCUGAUGGAGCAACGCCGCGUGAGUGAUGAAGGGUUUCGGCUCGUAAAACUCUGUUGUUGGAGAAGAACAGGUGUCAGAGUAACUGUUGACAUCUUGACGGUAUCCAACCAGAAAGCCACGGCUAACUACGUGCCAGCAGCCGCGGUAAUACGUAGGUGGCAAGCGUUGUCCGGAUUUAUUGGGCGUAAAGCGAGCGCAGGCGGUUUCUUAGGUCUGAUGUGAAAGCCUUCGGCUUAACCGGAGAAGUGCAUCGGAAACCAGGAGACUUGAGUGCAGAAGAGGACAGUGGAACUCCAUGUGUAGCGGUGAAAUGCGUAGAUAUAUGGAAGAACACCAGUGGCGAAGGCGGCUGUCUGGUCUGUAACUGACGCUGAGGCU